AGAACUCCCGGCUCAGAGUUCUCCACCGCUCCUCCCAGGCUCACGAGGCUCAUGGGCUACCCAGCACCAGCCGCCCAGGAGGCUGGACCACAGGCCUCAGUCCCGACUUCUUCCUGCUGCCCGGCAUGGGACCCUCCCCCAGGACAGCCACCUCCCGGUGCUGAAGAGCCGGCCCUCUGCAGAGCCGCCCGCCGUUCCUUUUUCCUAUGCAUAUACUUCUUUGAGGAUCUGGCCUAAAGAGACUACGAAGCUGCACCGUGUGGGGCCCACUUUUUACACAAGCGGGUGGCGGUGGAUCCAGGCGCACAGACGGGAGGCGUGGCGGAGACGCGUGCACGCUGGGUCUGUGCGCUUUUGCUGCUUUUUUUUUUGAGAUGGAGUCUCGCUCUGUCACCCAGGCUGGAGUGCAGUGGCAUGAUCUCUGCUCACUACAACCUCCAUCUCCCGGGUUUAAGCGAUUUUCCUGUCUCAGCCUCCCAAGUAGCUGAGACAACGGGCGCCCGCCACCGCACCCGGCUAAUUUUUGUAUUUUUAGUAGAGACAGGGUUUCACCUUGUUAGUCAGGCUGGUCUUGAACUCCUGACCUCAUGAUCCACCUCCCUCGGCCUCCCAAAGUGCUGGGAUUACAGGCGUGAGCCACGCGUCCGGCCGGCAGUUACUUCUUAACAACUUUAUUACUUUUGUAAUCAUGGGUAUGAGUUGAUUUUCUGGUCAGAAAUUUCAGUAGAGCUAAUUUCAUUUAAAUGUGUUAGAUGUGGUAAAGUUUUGACAAUAAAUACAAAUUUUGACAAAGCA